CACAGGAAAGACAGUUAAGUUCUGGAAACAUAAUCAAACUAAACGCAUAUUCAAAAAAAUGAAAUUCACCAUUGUUCUCCUUGCCUGCCUGUUCGCCGUUGCCUUUGCCAACGAAGAAGCCGAUGUCGUUAAGGAAUUCCGUGAAGUCAACAAGGAAGACUUCAAAUACGGCUAGGAAUUGAC
rnacentral:sRNA from 1 species